rnacentral:rRNA from 2 species
UACGAAGGGGGCUAGCGUUGUUCGGAAUUACUGGGCGUAAAGCGUGCGCAGGCGGUUUCUCAAGUCAGGGGUGAAAGCCCGGAGCUCAACUCCGGAAUUGCCCUUGAAACUGUGAAGCUAGAGUGCGGGAGAGGUGAGUGGAAUUCCCAGUGUAGAGGUGAAAUUCGUAGAUAUUGGGAAGAACACCGGUGGCGAAGGCGGCUCACUGGCCCGUUUCUGACGCUCAUGCACGACAGCGUGGGGAUCAAACAGG